rnacentral:rRNA from 1 species
AUUGAACGCUGGCGGCAGGCCUAACACAUGCAAGUCGAACGGUAGCACAGAGAGCUUGCUCUCGGGUGACGAGUGGCGGACGGGUGAGUAACGUCUGGGAAACUGCCCGAUGGAGGGGGAUGACUACUGGAAACGGUAGCUAAUACCGCAUAACGUCGCAAGACCAAAGUGGGGGACCUUCGGGCCUCACACCAUCGGAUGUGCCCAGAUGGGAUUAGCUAGUAGGUGGGGUAAUGGCUCACCGAGGCGACGAUCCCUAGCUGGUCUGAGAGGAUGACCAGCCACACUGGAACUGAGACACGGUCCAGACUCCUACGGGAGGCAGCAGUGGGGAAUAUUGCACAAUGGGCGCAAGCCUGAUGCAGCCAUGCCGCGUGUAUGAAGAAGGCCUUCGGGUUGUAAAGUACUUUCAGCGGGGAGGAAGGCGGUGAAGUUAAUAACUUCACCGAUUGACGUUACCCGCAGAAGAAGCACCGGCUAACUCCGUGCCAGCCGCCGCCGUAA